rnacentral:tRNA from 1 species
GCCUUGGUGGUGAAAUGGUAGACACGAGGGACUUAAAAUCCCUUGGCCCGCAAGGGCCGUGCGGGUUCGAGUCCCGCCCGGGGCA